AUUGAACGCUGGCGGCAUGCCUUACACAUGCAAGUCGAACGGCAGCGGACCUUCGGGUGCCGGCGAGUGGCGAACGGGUGAGUAAUAUAUCGGAACGUACCUUUCAGUGGGGGAGUAACGUAGCGAAAGUUACGCUAAUACCGCAUAUUCUGUGAGCAGGAAAGCAGGGGAUCGCAAGACCUUGCGCUGAUUGAGCGGCCGAUAUCAGAUUAGCUAGUUGGUGAGGUAAAGGCUCACCAAGGCGACGAUCUGUAGCGGGUCGUGAGAGGAUGAUCCGCCACACUGGAACUGAGACACGGUCCAGACUCCUACGGGAGGCAGCAGUGGGGAAGUUUUGUCGCAAUAGGGCGGAAAGACCUCGACGCAGCCACGCCGCCGUGAGCGAU
rnacentral:rRNA from 1 species